rnacentral:lncRNA from 1 species
UAAUUGAGAAUUUUGUAGGGGUUGAUACACAUUUUCGUUCGGGUAAAUCAAGUCAAAUCAAUUGGAAAUGGCCAACUUUAUAGGCCAUUUUAAACGUUGAAUACGCUACAAUUUGCAUUUCCUGCUGAGCUGGAAAUGUCUCUGACAACAGAAUAUCGAAUUAAGAUAGCAGAUCUGUAUGGGCCUCACAUUUGAAGGAUAAGCACUUGAUAGUAAAUAUAGUAAACUGUCAUAGUAGCACAUAGCUUGUUUACCUCAUAUUUGAGUUUUUUUUAUUGUAUUCUGUGAAGUAUAUGAUUAAAAAGUUCCUGAUAGAUGAUGUGUUCAUCUACAUAGAUAUUAGACUUAGACGUUUCUGUUAUCCUAAGUGGCAUGCACCUCUUUUAUCUUUUCUGCUGUCCUUUCUUUCUCCAGCCUCGAUAAUAAUUGAUCCAUGUUGAUUGAUUAUUUGCAGGGCAAAGUAAUAACUGUCAAGGGAGACAGAGGUGAGAAGGGGGAUCCCGGUAGCCAGGGGACAUCCGGUGACAAAGGAUCCGAUGGGGAGAAGGGAACCAGUGGAGCAGCAGGUCUUGCUGGGAAAGAUGGAUCUAAAGGAGAAAGAGUAUGAGACAACCACCUUACAAUAAGAUUAUCCUACAAUAAGUUACUGUUAUUAUGAUGUAAACAUUUCUGAUUAACUUCUGGAUGUUUCUGCUUUAUUGUGACAGGGUGAUUCUGGGCUGGCAGGCGAUCAGGGAUUUCCUGGACCUCUGGGACCAAAGGUGGGUGAUCCUUCUAGUUCUCUUUGUUGAUUCCAUAUAGGUGUCGGACAGUAUACAAUAGGCAAUGU